rnacentral:rRNA from 1 species
UACAGAGGUCUCAAGCGUUGUUCGGAUUCAUUGGGCGUAAAGGGUGCGUAGGCGGCGGUGCAAGUCGGAUGUGAAAUCUCAGGGCUCAACCCUGAAACUGCAUUCGAUACUGCCUUGCUCGAGGACUGGAGAGGAGAUUGGAAUUCACGGUGUAGCAGUGAAAUGCGUAGAUAUCGUGAGGAAGACCAGUGGCGAAGGCGGAUCUCUGGACAGUUCCUGACGCUGAGGCACGAAGGCCAGGGGAGCAAACGGG